GAUGAACGCAGGCGGCGUGCCUAAUACAUGCAAGUCGAGCGAACAGAUAAGGAGCUUGCUCCUUUGACGUUAGCGGCGGACGGGUGAGUAACACGUGGAUAACCUACCUAUAAGACUGGGAUAACUUCGGGAAACCGGAGCUAAUACCGGAUAACAUAUUGAACCGCAUGGUUCAAUAGUGAAAGGCGGCUUUGCUGUCACUUAUAGAUGGAUCCGCGCCGUAUUAGCUAGUUGGUAAGGUAACGGCUUACCAAGGCAACGAUACGUAGCCGACCUGAGAGGGUGAUCGGCCACACUGGAACUGAGACACGGUCCAGACUCCUACGGGAGGCAGCAGUAGGGAAUCUUCCGCAAUGGGCGAAAGCCUGACGGAGCAACGCCGCGUGAGUGAUGAAGGUCUUCGGAUCGUAAAACUCUGUUAUCAGGGAAGAACAAAUGUGUAAGUAACUGUGCACAUCUUGACGGUACCUGAUCAGAAAGCCACGGCUAACUACGUGCCAGCCGCCGCAGUAACAC
rnacentral:rRNA from 1 species